GACGAACGCUGGCGUCGUGCUUAACACAUGCAAGUCGAACGGAAAGGCCCUGCUUUUGUGGGGUGCUCGAGUGGCGAACGGGUGAGUAACACGUGAGUAACCUGCCCUUGACUUUGGGAUAACUUCAGGAAACUGGGGCUAAUACCGGAUAGGAGCUCCUGCUGCAUGGUGGGGGUUGGAAAGUUUCGGCGGUUGGGGAUGGACUCGCGGCUUAUCAGCUUGUUGGUGGGGUAGUGGCUUACCAAGGCUUUGACGGGUAGCCGGCCUGAGAGGGUGACCGGCCACAUUGGGACUGAGAUACGGCCCAGACUCCUACGGGAGGCAGCAGUGGGGAAUAUUGCACAAUGGGCGGAAGCCUGAUGCAGCAACGCCGCGUGCGGGAUGACGGCCUUCGGGUUGUAAACCGCUUUCGCCUGUGACGAAGCGUGAGUGACGGUAAUGGGUAAAGAAGCACCGGCUAACUACGUGCCAGCAGCCGCGGUGAUACGUAGGGUGCGAGCGUUGUCCGGAUUUAUUGGGCGUAAAGGGCUCGUAGGUGGUUGAUCGCGUCGGAAGUGUAAUCUUGGGGCUUAACCCUGAGCGUGCUUUCGAUACGGGUUGACUUGAGGAAGGUAGGGGAGAAUGGAAUUCCUGGUGGAGCGGUGGAAUGCGCAGAUAUCAGGAGGAACACCAGUGGCGAAGGCGGUUCUCUGGGCCUUUCCUGACGCUGAGGAGCGAAAGCGUGGGGAGCGAACAGGCUUAGAUACCCUGGUAGUCCACGCUGUAAACGGUGGGUACUAGGUGUGGGGUCCAUUCCACGGGUUCCGUGCCGUAGCUAACGCUUUAAGUACCCCGCCUGGGGAGUACGGCCGCAAGGCUAAAACUCAAAGGAAUUGACGGGGCCCCGCACAAGCGGCGGAGCAUGCGGAUUAAUUCGAUGCAACGCGUAGAACCUUACCUGGGUUUGACAUGGAUCGGAAGCGCUCAGAGAUGGGUGUGCCUCUUUUGGGGUCGGUUCACAGGUGGUGCAUGGCUGUCGUCAGCUCGUGUCGUGAGAUGUUGGGUUAAGUCCCGCAACGAGCGCAACCCUUGUUCACUGUUGCCAGCACGUUAUGGUGGGGACUCAGCCGAGACCGCCGGGGUCAACUCGGAGGAAGGUGGGGAUGACGACAAGUCAUCAUGCCCCCUUAUGUCCAGGGCUUCACGCAUGCUACGAUGGCUGGUACAGAGAGUGGCGAGCCUGUGAGGGUGAGCGAAUCUCGGAAAGCCGGUCUCAGUUCGGAUUGGGGUCUGCAACUCGACCUCAUGAAGUCGGAGUCGCUAGUAAUCGCAGAUCAGCAACGCUGCGGUGAAUACGUUCCCGGG
rnacentral:rRNA from 1 species